rnacentral:rRNA from 1 species
GACGAACGCUGGCGGCGUGCUUAACACAUGCAAGUCGAACGGAAAGGCCCUGCUUUUGUGGGGUGCUCGAGUGGCGAACGGGUGAGUAACACGUGAGUAACCUGCCCUUGACUUUGGGAUAACUUCAGGAAACUGGGGCUAAUACCGGAUAGGAGCUCCUGCUGCAUGGUGGGGGUUGGAAAGUUUCGGCGGUGGGGGAUGGACUCGCGGCUUAUCAGCUUGUUGGUGGGGUAGUGGCUUACCAAGGCUUUGACGGGUAGCCGGCCUGAGAGGGUGACCGGCCACAUUGGGACUGAGAUACGGCCCAGACUCCUACGGGAGGCAGCAGUGGGGAAUAUUGCACAAUGGGCGGAAGCCCGAUGCAGCAACGCCGCGUGCGGGAUGACGGCCUUCGGGUUGUAAACCGCUUUCGCCUGUGACGAAGCGUGAGUGACGGUAAUGGGUAAAGAAGCACCGGCUAACUACGUG